AGAGUUUGAUCAUGGCUCAGGACGAACGCUGGCGGCGUGCUUAACACAUGCAAGUCGAGCGGAAAGGCCCUUCGGGGUACUCGAGCGGCGAACGGGUGAGUAACACGUGAGUAAUCUGCCCCUAGCUCUGGGAUAGCUCCGGGAAACCGGGAUUAAUACCGGAUAUGACCACUACGGACAUCUGUUUUGGUGGAAAGAAUUUCGGCUAGGGAUGAGCUCGCGGCCUAUCAGCUUGUUGGUGGGGUAACGGCCUACCAAGGCGACGACGGGUAGCCGGCCUGAGAGGGCGACCGGCCACACUGGGACUGAGACACGGCCCAGACUCCUACGGGAGGCAGCAGUGGGGAAUAUUGCGCAAUGGGCGAAAGCCUGACGCAGCGACGCCGCGUGGGGGAUGAAGGCCUUCGGGUUGUAAACCCCUUUCAGCAGGGACGAAGCGAAAGUGACGGUACCUGCAGAAGAAGCGCCGGCUAACUACGUGCCAGCAGCCGCGGUAACACGUAGGGCGCAAGCGUUGUCCGGAAUUAUUGGGCGUAAAGAGCUCGUAGGCGGUCUGUUGCGUCCGCUGUGAAAACUCGGGGCUUAACCCCGAGCCUGCAGUGGAUACGGGCAGACUAGAGGUAGGUAGGGGAGAAUGGAAUUCCCGGUGUAGCGGUGAAAUGCGCAGAUAUCGGGAGGAACACCGGUGGCGAAGGCGGUUCUCUGGGCCUUACCUGACGCUGAGGAGCGAAAGCGUGGGGAGCGAACAGGAUUAGAUACCCUAGUAGUCC
rnacentral:rRNA from 1 species